GGUUGAGCACAUGGCCUUAUGGAUUUCAUGAUUUUCGGCGCUUAACGUGAAAACAGUUAAAGCACAGGAUUCACAAACAUUAAAUUUAUGCUUAAACCUAUAUGCGAUACAUUAUGCAUAUAAUUAUAAUUCACGAUAAUAUCGCACAUGGAAGUAACUGGAAUAAAUUUGAACUAUUUCCUUCGGAAGUUUACAUGACUGUCUUGUCAAAAGGCCUCCCUCGUGUUUACAUAUUUUGACAGGUCGAGUUGUUCUGGGACUAGGAACAAUGAUGAAUGAAUACCUGCACCAUGGAAACAAUGUCAUUUGCAAACUUUUUGAACCUGUGAUGGGCGUUCACAUUGACAUUUCUUGUUCAACAGAAAUACAUGAUGUCGACCAACAGUACAGCUAGAUGAAGAUAUAAAUUUAUUCAAAGAAAUAAUGGGACAAUGAAUGCUAAAAUUGCCAAGAAGAAGACUGCCAAUUUACACACCAUUUUAUACAGUUACAGUAUGAUAUGGUGAACAAAAUGCCUCAAUGUAGCCAGUUCUGGAGCUUUGGCUAGACUAUGAACAGUAGACAUCAAAAGAUGAUCAUCUGAAGGGCCACAAUUGUUUAAAGCACUGGUCAACGAAAACUGAACUAUUUGAUGGAUCAUACAUCUGCAGAAUGUACUACCAUAUUUCCAGAAUCAGAGAAAUAGAAAUAUCAAGUAUUAGAGAGAAAGAAAAGUAUGCAUCAUGUAUGAAGAACUGCCUAAGAAUAAUUUGCAAAAUACAUUGAAAUCUAACAAUUGCUAAUUGCAUAAGGAAGUUAAGGAAGGUGUACUCUUCUGGAAAAUAUGUGUCCAGUGCAACAUUUCUUUUCCAAUUUUGUGAGCAUAAUUCUGAAUAAAAAUUGCAACAUGGCUACAGGGAUAAUACAAAAGGUUUCAUCUUAUUUCCAAACACAUUGGGGGAAUCAGAGAAGAAAUAUCAAGAAUUAGGGAAAAAGAAAUAAUUGUCAUGAAUGAAGAACUUGCUUUUUAUUAAUUUACAAAAUACUUUUUAUCCUCACAACAGUUA